AGAAAAUUUACCCAAGUGUUCAUAAGAAGGGGACUGGUAAAAUAAAUUACUGUACAUCCACACAAUAAAGGCAAUACAGCCACAGGAUAAAGUAGAUCUGUAACUGUUGUUGUAGGAAAGUGUCCAGGAUGUGUCAUUAAGUGGAGAAAAAAACAAAGAACAGAAAGGAGGUCACCAAAAGCAGGGUUGGCACUAGUUGUGUUCAGUUCAUUCAGAUUCAAAGAUCAAACUCCUAGGGCCUCAGAAGGCCCAGGUUCCAGUUCCUGCUUCUGGAUCAAGGUUGUGUAUGAUGAAGGAGGAGGCUGGCCCUGAGCCCAGAGCCCAGAAUGGGAUGGGCAUUUCUCCUUCAGCUCUGCCACAGCUAUGACAAAUACCUGCAUUGGAGCCUGGAUUUCCUUCACCAGCAGAAGGAGGAUGAGGAUUAAAGCCUUGGGUAUAUUCUGGUGCCUUUCCCACUUCAUUACGCUGUCACUGACAGAGAAGUGCUCAGAAGAAAAAGCCAGAAGAGCCAUUUCAAUGGGUGUGAGUCUUUCUGGUCUUAACAUCAUCGUCCUCCUAAUUGCCGUUCUUCUGAUGAGCAAGGCACUCUUUCCUGGAAGCUUUGGCCAAGACACCUAGAGAGUACACCAUGAGAAAUGCUGGGCUGGAUGAAGCACAAGCUGGAAUCAAGAUUGCCGGGAGAAAUAUCAAUAACCUCAGAUAUGCAGAUGACACCACCCUUAUGGCAGAAAGUGAAGAACUACUAAAGGGCCUCUUGAUGAAAGUGAAAGAGGAGGGUGAAAAAGUUGGCUUAAAACUCAACAUUCAGAAAGCUAAGAUCAUGGCAUCUGGUGCCAUCACUUCAUGGCAAACAGAUGGGGAAACAGUGGAAACAGUGAGAGACUUUAAUUUUGGGGGCUCCAAAAUCAGUGCAGAUGG